UGGUCCGCGUGCGUGUGCACGCACGCAUGCGCGCUCCUGAGUCCGGCGAGGCUGGGGCAGAGAGCCUUCCCCGAGUCUCCAAGCUCAUUUAAAAUCUUAAGAAAAUUCCUCAAAGGCUCCAUUUAUCUCUUAGAAGGAGCGUUUGAGACAACUCAGCAUCUAUCUUUUUGGAAUCGGACUCUGAGCUCUGGUGCCUCGUGUCCCUGAUAACAGUGGCUUCUAACCGAUGGCUCAUCCUAAGCCCUCGCGUUCAGGGAGCAUCUGCUUGCAGGGUUUCUGACACUCCAAGCCACGGGGUCUCAACCAGCGUACAGUCCCUCUGUGACUACAUCGAAAGACGAUGCACCUAACAGAUGGGAUCUCUUGAAUAUUUAUGUCUGGACACAUCUGUUCUGGACUUGAAAGUUGAAUAAAGCUUUUCAUUUUCUGAAGUGCGGGUGAAACCUGUCUGGGGCGAGCUGACAGCCCCAUGGGGUCAGCCUCUCAGUGGUGACUCUGGGGCAUGGGGCUGUGGCUGGGGACACCCUGCCUGGCAGACGGCCGUGAUCUCCACACCCCUCUUCCUUCUCCCUCCUGUGACACAGGAGAGAAUGGUGAAGGGGUGGGGGCAGCCGGCGAGGGGCUCACUCAGUGGACCAGUUGAAGGUAUUUACAGAGAGAAA